GAAUGUACCAAGCAGAAUUCGAUUGGAAGUUAUGUAUUAUAUUGAAUGCUAUAAUCUUAAAGCUAUACAUUGAAGCUUAAAUAAGAGCUUGAAUGGAUAAAAUUAAAGGAUAUAAAGGUGUCAUACUCUAAUUGGUAACUACAGGGAAAAAUUUGUUUAAUAAGAAAAGAUAAUGUGAAAUUGUAACAGGACAGACAAAAGUAUAAAUAUAAUGAUUUGAAUUGAGAUAAUCAAAACAAAGUUGAGAAAAUUAGAAGAGGGGAAAAACUAUGUAGAAAAUAUAAAAUGGUAAUAAGAUAUGGAAUAGAAUAUAAAAAUGAGCAUGAAAUUGAGUUUUGUAUCUGUACGAAGAAGUGAUAACCUGGGACCAUGCUAUUUUCAAAAAAGAUGUUUUAUUUGUAUUUUGUUUUUGUGAAAACCCAAAUAAAAUUUUCAAAAAAAAAAAAAAAAAGAAAUGUUAUCUGAUGUCCAGCUAAAACAUCUUUCUUAUUUAAAGUUGUUCUUUCUCGAUUUCUAGAACAAUUCAGAACAAUUCUUCCCUUCCUUCUACAUGAUGGCUGUGCAGAUAUUUGAAGAUAACUAAGUCUUCUCCAUGAAGUAAGGCAUAUAAUAUCCAGACUAUUUCAAAAGCCAAAAUUGGAAAUGAGCUCAAAAGAUGGAAAUCAAAGAAUGCAUGUGGGGUGUCAUCACUAACCAAAAAAAGAUGAGGCUAAGAAAGUAUGAAAUUAUGCAGGACUGGAAAAUAAUAAGGCAACAUCACCCGUUGCUUUUGUUCACUCAGUUGUUAGCAACCAUCUCCAAGAAAUGCAUCAGCUUUCCACCAAUCCUGAUGAAAAAUGGGAGAAGGAGAAAAAAAUAUAUGAGUUAUACUCAACUAACUGAAGUGUUUCCUUGAUUCAUUUACAGGUAAUGUAGGAUGUUAACUAAACAAAAUGGAUUAAUAAUUGAAAGUUAGAACAGGAAGUUAAAAAAAAAAAGAUUAAAUGAGUUACAGUAGGAAAGGAAAAACAUUAGAAAGUGACAGACCCCUUGAUUUUUAAAAUAUAAAAAAAGUGCUUGAUUGAGAGCUGUUAAAUAAUAGUUCCAGUACUUGUUAAGACGGCAG
rnacentral:lncRNA from 1 species